GAUCUAUCUUAGCCAGUAAUAAAUUAUUAUUUGUUAGUUCCGUUUCGCGCGUUAAUACUUUCGUUUUGGUGACUUUUGUCGCUUUUGAUUAAGCAUAACCAUUGACAACAUUGCUGAGAGGCGACAUGAAGAAACAGAUGAUUUCAGACAGUAAAAGUGGAACACAAUAUGUAGCUUCUUCCAGUACCAGAAACUCUAAUAGUUCCUCUACAGACGCUAACGCAUCUAGAAACGGAACUAUACCUUCAACAGGACAGGACAAAACAAAAAAGUGCUUCCCUAAGGACUGCACUAUCUGUAAACAAUCGCUUCAGUGCGUGUAUUGCGGAAUAAUAUUUCCUAACGAAGCACUAUAUUUAAUUCACAAGGGUUGCCAUUCCAGAACUAACCCGUGGAUGUGCAACAUAUGUGGGAAUAUAUGCUCUGACGUAAACAAUUUUAACUUGCAUUUGUUAUCACAGAGUCACUAAUAACAAUAGUUUGGAUGGGACUGUAUCUUUUGUUCUUCUGUAUGGUUUUACGUCUUUUAUCAUAGAACAAUCACGCAAUAUUGUAUAAAUAAUAAUUAAAAACUAAUAGGUAUAUGUGUUUUAGCUAGACUGGCUUUAAUUGAUUCUUCUAGGAAUAUCAACCCGAGAAUAAAUAAUUGCGAAUUUCUUUUCUUUUUGUAAUAGUUUUUUAAGACAAAAAAAAUAAUAUAUAAUUUUUUAAAUUACCUAUUAACUUUUUCAUGUAGUAAUGAUAUUCCAAAAUAAUCAACGGUAAGAACAGUAGGUAUGAUUAGAAAUAUUCAUGAUUGGAGGAUUAUAAAAUUUAUGAACUUGUACACUAAUUUUUUUAGUUGUGAAAAAAGUUAAGGAGUAUUAUUAUGACAGAUAGUUUUAGUUUUUAGAUUUUACUUGUGUUUUUGUGAUGUUAAAACUCGUUUUUAUAGUAACUAAAUUAUCUAUAUUAAUUUCAGCAAGAAUGGAACAGGAAAUUGAUUCCUGACAGAAAAAUAAACUGGCACUUCAAAUAACGUUUUUUAUAUAAACUGAUAAAAACGUUUAAUGAUCAAGUGUCCUUUGUAUAUAUAAUUAACCCGCUUGGGGUCAUAAAACUGUUUGAUCA